GGAGAGAUGGCUCAGUGGUUAAGAGCACUGACUGCUCUUCCAGAGGUCGUGAGUUCAAUUCCCAGCAACCACA
rnacentral:tRNA from 1 species